AGGGCAUGAAGGUGGUGGAGAUUGAAAAGUGUCAGAAAGACAUCAAGAAGCUGCGUGAGGAGAUGGCCUCCAGAAAUAACAGCAGCUUCUUGGAUGACAACAAGAAACUGGCGCCAAGAAGAGACGUACCCUCCUAUCCAAAGUACCUGCUCUCAAAGCAAACCAUAGACGCUCUCAGGAAACCUGCCUUCGACAUCUGGCUGUGGGAAUCCAAUGAGGUAACCACCC